rnacentral:rRNA from 1 species
GAUGAACGCUGGCGGCGUGCCUAAUACAUGCAAGUCGAACGCUUUGUGGUUCAACUGAUUUGAAGAGCUUGCUCAGAUAUGACGAUGGACAUUGCAAAGAGUGGCGAACGGGUGAGUAACACGUGGGAAACCUACCUCUUAGCAGGGGAUAACAUUUGGAAACAGAUGCUAAUACCGUAUAACAAUGACAACCGCAUGGUCGUUAUUUAAAAGAUGGUUCUGCUAUCACUAAGAGAUGGUCCCGCGGUGCAUUAGCUAGUUGGUAAGGUAAUGGCUUACCAAGGCGAUGAUGCAUAGCCGAGUUGAGAGACUGAUCGGCCACAAUGGGACUGAGACACGGCCCAUACUCCUACGGGAGGCAGCAGUAGGGAAUCUUCCACAAUGGGCGAAAGCCUGAUGGAGCAACGCCGCGUGUGUGAUGAAGGGUUUCGGCUCGUAAAACACUGUUGUAAGAGAAGAAUGACAUUGAGAGUAACUGUUCAAUGUGUGACGGUAUCUUACCAGAAAGGAACGGCUAAAUACGUGCCAGCAGCCGCGGUAAUACGUAUGUUCCAAGCGUUAUCCGGAUUUAUUGGGCGUAAAGCGAGCGCAGACGGUUAUUUAAGUCUGAAGUGAAAGCCCUCAGCUCAACUGAGGAAUUGCUUUGGAAACUGGAUGACUUGAGUGCAGUAGAGGAAAGUGGAACUCCAUGUGUAGCGGUGAAAUGCGUAGAUAUAUGGAAGAACACCAGUGGCGAAGGCGGCUUUCUGGACUGUAACUGACGUUGAGGCUCGAAAGUGUGGGUAGCAAACAGGAUUAGAUACCCUGGUAGUCCACACCGUAAACGAUGAGUGCUAGGUGUUUGAGGGUUUCCGCCCUUAAGUGCCGCAGCUAACGCAUUAAGCACUCCGCCUGGGGAGUACGACCGCAAGGUUGAAACUCAAAGGAAUUGACGGGGACCCGCACAAGCGGUGGAGCAUGUGGUUUAAUUCGAAGCAACGCGAAGAACCUUACCAGGUCUUGACAUCCCUUGACAACUCCAGAGAUGGAGCGUUCCCUUCGGGGACAAGGUGACAGGUGGUGCAUGGUUGUCGUCAGCUCGUGUCGUGAGAUGUUGGGUUAAGUCCCGCAACGAGCGCAACCCUUAUUACUAGUUGCCAGCAUUCAGUUGGGCACUCUAGUGAGACUGCCGGUGACAAACCGGAGGAAGGUGGGGAUGACGUCAAAUCAUCAUGCCCCCUAUGACCUGGGCUACACACGUGCUACAAUGGCGUAUACAACGAGUUGCCAACCUGCGAGGGUGAGCUAAUCUCUUAAAGUACGUCUCAGUUCGGAUUGUAGGCUGCAACUCGCCUACAUGAAGUCGGAAUCGCUAGUAAUCGCGGAUCAGCACGCCGCGGUGAAUACGUUCCCGGGUCUUGUACACACCGCCCGUCACACCAUGAGAGUUUGUAACACCCAAAGCCGGUGGGGUAACCUUCGGGAGCCAGCCGUCUAAGGUGGGACAGAUGAUUAGGGUG